CACUAUCGUUAACUGAAUACAUAGGUUAACGAGGCGAACCGGGGGAACUGAAACAUCUAAGUACCCCGAGGAAAAGAAAUCAACCGAGAUUCCCCCAGUAGCGGCGAGCGAACGGGGAGCAGCCCAGAGUCUGAAUCAGCUUGUGUGUUAGUGGAACGGUCUGGAAAGUCCGACGGUACAGGGUGAUAGUCCCGUACACCAAAAUGCACAGGCUGUGAACUCGAAGAGUAGGGCGGGACACGUGGUAUCCUGUCUGAAUAUGGGGGGACCAUCCUCCAAGGCUAAAUACUCCUGACUGACCGAUAGUGAACCAGUACCGUGAGGGAAAGGCGAAAAGAACCCCGGCGAGGGGAGUGAAAAAGAACCUGAAACCGUGUACGUACAAGCAGUGGGAGCACCUUCGGGUGUGACUGCGUACCUUUUGUAUAAUGGGUCAGCGACUUAUAUUCUGUAGCAAGGUUAACCGUAUAGGGGAGCCGCAGGGAAACCGAGUCUUAACUGGGCGUUAAGUUGCAGGGUAUAGACCCGAAACCCGGUGAUCUAGCCAUGGGCAGGUUGAAGGUUGGGUAACACUAACUGGAGGACCGAACCGACUAAUGUUGAAAAAUUAGCGGAUGACUUGUGGCUGGGGGUGAAAGGCCAAUCAAACCGGGAGAUAGCUGGUUCUCCCCGAAAGCUAUUUAGGUAGCGCCUCGUGAAUUCAUCUUCGGGGGUAGAGCACUGUUUCGGCUAGGGGGUCAUCCCGACUUACCAACCCGAUGCAAACUACGAAUACCGAAGAAUGUUAUCACGGGAGACACACGGCGGGUGCUAACGUCCGUCGUGAAGAGGGAAACAACCCAGACCGCCAGCUAAGGUCCCAAAGUCAUGGUUAAGUGGGAAACGAUGUGGGAAGGCACAGACAGCCAGGAUGUUGGCUUAGAAGCAGCCAUCAUUUAAAGAAAGCGUAAUAGCUCACUGGUCGAGUCGGCCUGCGCGGAAGAUGUAACGGGGCUAAACCAUGCACCGAAGCUGCGGCAGCGACACUAUGUGUUGUUGGGUAGGGGAGCGUUCUGUAAGCCUGCGAAGGUGACCUGUGAGGGUUGCUGGAGGUAUCAGAAGUGCGAAUGCUGACAUAAGUAACGAUAAAGCGGGUGAAAAGCCCGCUCGCCGGAAGACCAAGGGUUCCUGUCCAACGUUAAUCGGGGCAGGGUGAGUCGACCCCUAAGGCGAGGCCGAAAGGCGUAGUCGAUGGGAAACAGGUUAAUAUUCCUGUACUUGGUGUUACUGCGAAGGGGGGACGGAGAAGGCUAUGUUAGCCGGGCGACGGUUGUCCCGGUUUAAGCAUGUAGGCUGGUUGUCCAGGCAAAUCCGGAUAAUCAAGGCUGAGGUGUGAUGACGAGGCACUACGGUGCUGAAGUAACAAAUGCCCUGCUUCCAGGAAAAGCCUCUAAGCAUCAGGUAACAUCAAAUCGUACCCCAAACCGACACAGGUGGUCAGGUAGAGAAUACCAAGGCGCUUGAGAGAACUCGGGUGAAGGAACUAGGCAAAAUGGUGCCGUAACUUCGGGAGAAGGCACGCUGGUGUGUAGGUGAAGUCCCUGCGGAUGGAGCUGAGACCAGUCGAAGAUACCAGCUGGCUGCAACUGUUUAUUAAAAACACAGCACUGUGCAAACACGAAAGUGGACGUAUACGGUGUGACGCCUGCCCGGUGCCGGAAGGUUAAUUGAUGGGGUUAUCCGUAAGGAGAAGCUCUUGAUCGAAGCCCCGGUAAACGGCGGCCGUAACUAUAACGGUCCUAAGGUAGCGAAAUUCCUUGUCGGGUAAGUUCCGACCUGCACGAAUGGCGUAAUGAUGGCCAGGCUGUCUCCACCCGAGACUCAGUGAAAUUGAACUCGCUGUGAAGAUGCAGUGUACCCGCGGCAAGACGGAAAGACCCCGUGAACCUUUACUAUAGCUUGACACUGAACAUUGAGCCUUGAUGUGUAGGAUAGGUGGGAGGCUUUGAAGCGUGGACGCCAGUCUGCGUGGAGCCAACCUUGAAAUACCACCCUUUAAUGUUUGAUGUUCUAACGUUGGCCCCUGACCGGGGUUGCGGACAGUGUCUGGUGGGUAGUUUGACUGGGGCGGUCUCCUCCCAAAGCGUAACGGAGGAGCACGAAGGUUAGCUAAUCCUGGUCGGACAUCAGGAGGUUAGUGCAAUGGCAUAAGCUAGCUUGACUGCGAGCGUGACGGCGCGAGCAGGUGCGAAAGCAGGUCAUAGUGAUCCGGUGGUUCUGAAUGGAAGGGCCAUCGCUCAACGGAUAAAAGGUACUCCGGGGAUAACAGGCUGAUACCGCCCAAGAGUUCAUAUCGACGGCGGUGUUUGGCACCUCGAUGUCGGCUCAUCACAUCCUGGGGCUGAAGUAGGUCCCAAGGGUAUGGCUGUUCGCCAUUUAAAGUGGUACGCGAGCUGGGUUUAGAACGUCGUGAGACAGUUCGGUCCCUAUCUGCCGUGGGCGCUGGAGAAUUGAGGGGGGCUGCUCCUAGUACGAGAGGACCGGAGUGGACGCAUCACUGGUGUUCGGGUUGUCAUGCCAAUGGCACUGCCCGGUAGCUAAAUGCGGAAGAGAUAAGUGCUGAAAGCAUCUAAGCACGAAACUUGCCCCGAGAUGAGUUCUCCCUGAGACUUUAAGUCUCCUGAAGGAACGUUAAAGACGAUGACGUUGAUAGGCCGGGUGUGUAAGCGCAGCGAUGCGUUGAGCUAACCGGUACUAAUGAACCGUGAGGCUUAACCUUACAACGCCGAAG
rnacentral:rRNA from 2 species